AGAGUUUGAUCAUGGCUCAGAUUGAACGCUGGCGGCAGGCCUAACACAUGCAAGUCGAGCGGUAGCACAGAGAGCUUGCUCUCGGGUGACGAGCGGCGGACGGGUGAGUAAUGUCUGGGAAACUGCCUGAUGGAGGGGGAUAACUACUGGAAACGGUAGCUAAUACCGCAUAAUGUCGCAAGACCAAAGUGGGGGACCUUCGGGCCUCAUGCCAUCAGAUGUGCCCAGAUGGGAUUAGCUAGUAGGUGGGGUAACGGCUCACCUAGGCGACGAUCCCUAGCUGGUCUGAGAGGAUGACCAGCCACACUGGAACUGAGACACGGUCCAGACUCCUACGGGAGGCAGCAGUGGGGAAUAUUGCACAAUGGGCGCAAGCCUGAUGCAGCCAUGCCGCGUGUGUGAAGAAGGCCUUCGGGUUGUAAAGCACUUUCAGCGGGGAGGAAGGCGUUAAGGUUAAUAACCUUGUCGAUUGACGUUACCCGCAGAAGAAGCACCGGCUAACUCCGUGCCAGCAGCCGCGGUAAUACGGAGGGUGCAAGCGUUAAUCGGAAUUACUGGGCGUAAAGCGCACGCAGGCGGUCUGUCAAGUCGGAUGUGAAAUCCCCGGGCUCAACCUGGGAACUGCAUUCGAAACUGGCAGGCUAGAGUCUUGUAGAGGGGGGUAGAAUUCCAGGUGUAGCGGUGAAAUGCGUAGAGAUCUGGAGGAAUACCGGUGGCGAAGGCGGCCCCCUGGACAAAGACUGACGCUCAGGUGCGAAAGCGUGGGGAGCAAACAGGAUUAGAUACCCUGGUAGUCCACGCCGUAAACGAUGUCGAUUUGGAGGUUGUGCCCUUGAGGCGUGGCUUCCGGAGCUAACGCGUUAAAUCGACCGCCUGGGGAGUACGGCCGCAAGGUUAAAACUCAAAUGAAUUGACGGGGGCCCGCACAAGCGGUGGAGCAUGUGGUUUAAUUCGAUGCAACGCGAAGAACCUUACCUGGUCUUGACAUCCACAGAACUUUCCAGAGAUGGAUUGGUGCCUUCGGGAACUGUGAGACAGGUGCUGCAUGGCUGUCGUCAGCUCGUGUUGUGAAAUGUUGGGUUAAGUCCCGCAACGAGCGCAACCCUUAUCCUUUGUUGCCAGCGGU
rnacentral:rRNA from 1 species